CCUUGAUGGCGACCGGCGCACGGGUGAGUAACGCGUAUGCAACCUGCCCGAUACCGGGGUAUAGCCCAUGGAAAGGUGGAUUAACACCCCAUAGUACUUUUAUCCUGCCUGGGAUGGGAGUUAAAUGUUCAAGGUAUCGGAUGGGCAUGCGUCCUAUUAGUUAGUUGGCGGGUAACAGCCCACCAAGACGAUGAUAGGUAGGGGUUCUGAGAGGAAGGUCCCCCACAUUGGAACUGAGACACGGUCCAA
rnacentral:rRNA from 1 species